rnacentral:lncRNA from 1 species
AAAUAUGUUACAACUUAAUGCCCCGAAGUGCAAUGUAAUGCCUUUUUAUCGCUCCAGCCCCUUCCUGGCUCCUUACACCCUCUGCGGUAGUUCUCUUGAGAGAAUUACAUUGGUUGAUGAUCUAGGUGUUAAACUAGACCCAAAGUUAAAGUUUUCUGAACACAUUUCUACCAUGGUAAAUAAAGCCAUGGGUGUGCUUGGGUUUAUAAAGAGGUGGUCAAAGGAAUUUGAUGACCCCUAUAUAACGAAGAUUCUCUAUAUCUCGCUUGUUCGUCCGAUUUUAGAAUACGGCUCAUGUGUAUGGUGCCCUCAGUACAACAUACAUCAGGACCGUAUUGAAUCAGUACAG